AAUGAAUUUUGUUAGGUGAGGCUCCUAUGCAAACACAGGCUAUUGCCCAAAAACGUCGAGAGACACCAAUGGGUAGAACAGGAAUUGUCGUGAAGGCUUUUCAUAAGAUAGCUAAGAUUUUUCUUUACGUUGUAUAGUGCUAAAGCUCAACAUAUUACUUAAAAU
rfam:Vagococcus teuberi strain DSM 21459, complete genome.